rnacentral:rRNA from 1 species
UACGUAGGGCGCAAGCGUUGUCCGGAAUUAUUGGGCGUAAAGAGCUCGUAGGCGGCUUGUCGCGUCGGAUGUGAAAAGCCCCGGGGGCUUAACCCCCGGGUCUGCAUUCGAUACGGGGCAGGCUAGAGUGUGGUAGGGGGAGAUCGAAUUCCUGGUGUAGCGGUGAAAAUGCGCAGAUAUCAGGAGGAACACCGGUGGCGAAAGGGCGGGAUCUCUGGGGCCCAUUUACUGAGUGAGGGAGCGAAAAAGCGUGGGGGGGGAGCAAACAGGGAUUUAG